CAGUAGCCGCGGUAAUACGUAGGGUGCGAGCGUUAAUCGGAAUUACUGGGCGUAAAGCGUGCGCAGGCGGUUUUGUAAGACAGGCGUGAAAUCCCCGGGCUCAACCUGGGAAUGGCGCUUGUGACUGCAAAGCUAGAGUGCGGCAGAGGGGGAUGGAAUUCCGCGUGUAGCAGUGAAAUGCGUAGAUAUGCGGAGGAACACCGAUGGCGAAGGCAAUCCCCUGGGCCUGCACUGACGCUCAUGCACGAAAGCGUGGGGGGCAAACAGGAUUAGAGACCCCCGUAGUCCCUGUCUCUUAUAC
rnacentral:rRNA from 1 species